rnacentral:lncRNA from 1 species
GGAGUGUCCGUGGGAAGCUUUUAGACUGGGUGGGAGGAGAGGCAGAGGCCUGGACCCUGGGGCAGAGCUGAGGUGUGCUGUGCUUUAGGUGUGGGAAACAGCACAGGGAUGAAGAGGGGACGGCCACCAGCAUUUGUGCUGGUCUUAAAGACACAGUGAGCUGCUGCAGGUGGGGGAGGGAAAGAGAUGUCAAGGUGGAGCGUGGAGGAAAGCAAGACCUUCUGUGGGGUCCGAGGGACAUGUGCGUGCAUGCAUGUGUGCAGGUAGGUACAUGUGUGUGCACACGUGUGUGCGUAUGUAUACACACGUGUGCACAUGUAUAUGCCUGCAUGUUACAUUGUGUGUGGGGGGGUGUGUACAUUCAUGUGUGGACGCGUAUGUGUACAUCUGUGUGUGCACGUGUGUUGAAAGGCGAGCUGCAAAGGGAGAGUCUCUUUACUUGUUCAGCAUGUGCUUGUCAAAUGCCUGCUACGGGCUGGCCCUGGGGUAUUUUGUGGGUGUCAUCACAUCCCAUCCUCAUGAUGGCCCUGGAAGGUGGUAUUACGACCGUCUCUCUCAUUUUACAAAUGAGGAAACUGAGGCUCAGACAGGUUAGGUGACCUGCCCAGAAAAAUACUGUAUGGCAAUUUCUAUCACUGGGGGGAGUGAGUCCAUCUGAGCCAAGAAGCAGGACAAGGGACUCAGAGUGACCUGUCUGGAGCUGGGUGGACCUUGCCCUUUGGCAGCCUCCUCACCGGCUCUAGUAGCCUCCUCUCUGUUCCUGGGGUGGCAGGUUGUCUUGCCCCGGGGCAUUUGCAUGUGCUGCCUCUGAGCCCUGGCCGGCUGACCCUCAUUCCAGCAUCAUCUCCUUGCAGGCCUCCCCUCCCCUCCCGCUGACCCUGUCCCUCCAUCUACAUCCUCAGUUGCCCGUAGCGCCCCUUUGUCUUCGUCCUCCGCCUUCAGCACUUAUUGCCCGUCACUGGGUGGCAGAGCGUGGAGUGGGCAGUUGCUGGGAUGAGGGGCUGGCUGUGCACUCGGCGGCCGCUUGGGUGCUGGCCAAGUGCUUCACCUCUGGGCCUGAUUUCCUCUUCCAUGAAGUGGGGCUCUACCUCAGAGGGCCAUCUAGGAGGGAUUCCAGGGGGGCAGAGGCUGACGCCCAGUGGUGGUCAGUGCGUGUGUUGAGUGACCAGGUGUGGACAACCCAUCCAGGCCCCACCCAGGUCCUGGGGCUGCUCCGGAGCAGAGAAGGCCCAGCUGUCCCAGAGGACGGGUCGGCCUUCCCUGUCCCACCCACAUAGUGGCUGCUCUGCAGAGGCCGUGGGUCUGCUUCUGUGGGGCUUCUGCAGGCCCUGUCCCCUGUCCCCUGGAAGGACUUCCAGAGCCCAGCUCUGAAUCACAGCCAAUUAGGGCUGAUGAGAUGUGGAUGAGUCUGAAGCUGCUUUCUAAGCAGUUUAGCACACGCUUGGAGGUGACAGGGAGGAUCCGGGGGACUCGUGGCAUCGUGCAGAGACUGCGGAAGCGCAGGGGUCUGACGGAGCCCUUUCCAGCUCCCUGUGUGUCCUGACCACAGCUGCGAAGGCCCUGGGUGGGGUCCCUGGCAGGGAAGUGGCAAUGGCCGUGACGAUGGCGAUGACGCUCGAGUAGUGCUGGUUGCUGAGCCCGGGCAGGCCAGGCUCCGGGCUCGGUGCUUUCUACAUAGUUAGUUUUAUCUCCUCCUUACCACAUCCUGGGUCUCACCAGGAUUACUUACCCUCAUUUUGGAGCUGGGAUUGUGACAUUUAAUUGAUUCAUCUUGUGUCUUACGGUUAGUAAACAGUGGCGCCCACAUUUGGUCUCUUGACUCCAGAAUCCCUGUUCUUGAUUAUUCAGAAACUUAAUAUGGAAGACUCCUAUUUCAC